UACGGGGGAUGCAAGCGUUAUCCGGAAUCAUUGGGCGUAAAGCGCUUGUAGGUUGUUUAAUAAGUCCGUUGUUAAAGACUAGGGCUUAACCCUGGGAAAGCAAUAGAAACUACUAGACUAGAGUAUGGCAGGGGUAGAGGGAAUUUCUAGUGUAGCGGUGAAAUGCGUAGAUAUUAGAAAGAACACCGAUGGCGAAAGCGCUCUACUGGACCAUUACUGACACUCAGAAGCGAAAGCUAGGUUAGCGAAAGGGAUUAGAUACCCCUGUAGUCCUAGCCGUAAACGAUGGAUACUAGAUGUUGCAUUUAAUAUGCAGUAUUUUAGCUAACGCGUUAAGUAUCCCGCCUGGGGAGUACGCUCGCAAGGGUG
rnacentral:rRNA from 1 species